rnacentral:lncRNA from 1 species
CUCUACUAAAAAUACAAAAAUUAGCUGGGCAUGGUGGUGUGCGCCUGUAGUCCCAGCUACUCGGGAAGCUGAGGCAGGAGAAUUGCCUGAACCCAGGAGGUGGAGGUUGCAGUGAGCCGAGAUCGCGCCAUGGCACUCCAGCCUGGGUAACAGUAGCGAAAUUCCAUCUCAAGAAAAAAAAAAAAAGAAAUAUUAAAGUAAUAAAUGACAUUCUCAGGGCUGCCUCACAGCGCUGUGCAAGAUGUGCCCUACACAAUCAUGCCCAACCCAGGAGGGGAGUGGGGACAUAGAGCCAGCCCUCAUCUGCUUGCCAACCACACGCCCUGAAGCCAGAAGAACACUUUUUUCUAAUUCACUACAGUUUUUUGCAACCCUGUAGCCUAAGCAGCAUAACUGAAGAGCACAGAACCCGGGAAAGUGGGAGCACCUGGAAGCCCAGGCUACUGACCAGAGAACCGCGGGAUCCACAAAACGCUGACAGUUCCUCUUUUCAGCCACUUGUCGCAGAACAUUACCUACAACCAUCAACUGGCUCAAUUUAUUUAUCUAACAGUACCUCUCAAGUCUAGUGAGCUCUUUUUUGAGAUAUUCUUUUUUUUUUUUUUUUUUUUUUUUUUUUUUUGAGACGGAGUUUCGCUCUUGUUACCCAGGCUGGAGUGCAAUGGCGCAAUCUCGGCUCACUGCAACCUCUGCCUCCUGGUUCAAGUGAUUCCCCUGUCUCAGCCUGCAGACUAGCUGGGACUACAGGAGCAUACCACCAUGCCCAGCUAAUUUUUGUACUUUUAGUUUAGACAGGGUUUCACCAUGUUGGCUAUGAUGGUCUCGAUCUCUUGACCUCAGGGUGAGACACCUGCCUCGGCCUUCCAAAGUGCUGGGAUUGCAGGCAUGAGCCACUGUGCCCGGCAGAGAUAGUCUUCUAAAAUAUUAUCAAUAGCUACUUGAGUUGUGCUUUGCAUAAUAUUUCUUUUAAACAUCGAUUUUUUUAAAAUUUCAAUUAGAAAAUGGGGAAAAGACAUCAACAGCCAC